UACGAAGGGGGCUAGCGUUGCUCGGAAUCACUGGGCGUAAAGGGUGCGUAGGCGGGUCUUUAAGUCAGGGGUGAAAUCCUGGAGCUCAACUCCAGAACUGCCUUUGAUACUGAGGAUCUUGAGUUCGGGAGAGGUGAGUGGAACUGCGAGUGUAGAGGUGAAAUUCGUUGAUAUCAGGAGGAACACCCAUGGCGAAGGCAGCAUACUGGCCGGCAUCUGACGCUGAGGCGCGAAAGCGUGGGUAGCAAACAGG
rnacentral:rRNA from 1 species